ACACAUGCAAGUCGAGCGGAGAGAGGUUGCUUGCUACUGAUCUUAGCGGCGGACGGGUGAGUAAUGCUUAAGAAUCUGCCUAUUAGUGGGGGACAACGUUUCGAAAGGAAUGCUAAUACCGCAUACGUCCUAUGGGAGAAAGCAGGGGAUCUUCGGACCUUGCGCUAAUAGAUGAGCCUAGGUCGGAUUAGCUAGUUGGUGGGGUAAAGGCCUACCAAGGCGACGAUCUGUAGCGGGUCUGAGAGGAUGAUCCGCCACACUGGGACUGAGACACGGCCCAGACUCCUACGGGAGGCAGCAGUGGGGAAUAUUGGACAAUGGGCGCAAGCCUGAUCCAGCCAUGCCGCGUGUGUGAAGAAGGCCUUAUGGUUGUAAAGCACUUUAAGCGAGGAGGAGGCUACUUUAGUUAAUACCUAGAGAUAGUGGACGUUACUCGCAGAAUAAGCACCGGCUAACUCUGUGCCAGCAGCCGCGGUAAUACAGAGGGUGCA
rnacentral:rRNA from 1 species